GGAACAGGCAGGGCUGCAGACCGCCCAGAGGGAACAGGCUGAGCUGCAGACCGCCCAGGGGGAACAGGCAGGGCUGCAGACCGCCCAGAGGGAACAGGCUGAGCUGCAGACCGCCCAGGGGGAACAGGCUGAGCUGCAGACCGCCCAGGGGGAACAGGCAGGGCUGCAGAAAGAAUUAGACAGACUUGAAAGCCCGACUGCAAGAAGAGAGGUUGGCUGAGAAGGUAAAGAAAAAAAAAAACAUUCACCUGUGGUACUGUUUACCCAUUUAACAACAGUAUAAUCACACAACAUUUAGAUGCAUUCUGUCAUUUCAUAUUGUUUUUUU
ensembl:lncRNA